GAAGAGGUCAGGAGAGAAGAAAAGGAGGAGAAGAAGACGACGGAAGAGGUCAGGACAGAAGAAAAGGAGAAGAAAGAAGAAAAGGCUAAGGAGGAGGCUGCCAGGCCUGCCACACCUCCAAGCCAGCCCCGUGCUAGGACACCAUCGGUAUCAUCUUCAUCUUCCAACGGAAGUUUGGAUGAACAACUUUAAAAAGUCAUCGUAAUGCUAUAAAGGUUAUUAUGGGUUAAUUUUUCUUUGCAUGUUAUUUCUUCAUUAGAACAAUUGACUACCAGGUCCUUUUCUGACGUCAUGUAUUACAUGGAAGUCCUGUGCGACAGGUUUGCCCCUUUUGGUUGAUAACAGAAAUCAUGACAUAAUGUCGAGCUGUAACUAUAAACUUGGAUAGGUUGUACUAAUGAAUGUUCUUCUCUACUAUAUCUGACCACUACUUAGCUUCAACUCUGUAUCAGACGCAAGACAGACGUCAAACGUGAAGUGUUCACUUACAGAGACAUGUAAUCUGAUCCGUCAAGCCCUGUCUAUCAACACUAUCAAUAAACUAUCGAGUGCACUUGACAUUGCUGCACUUAACACUGUAGUACAUUUUAGUAAAUGGCAUCAGCCUAUCUACAUUUACACCAGAUUUCUGUUCUGUUUGCUGUGUAUUGACAGUCACUAUUUUCAGCGUUUCAAUCACAGAGAGAUCACUAAGGUGUGCUGUUUUCCUAGCAAUUCUAUCCAUCAACUUUUCCAUCUCAAAAGAAAUCAGUUUGUUGUAUUAUUUGAACCGACAAUUACUAUGGCAAUACAAUCCUAUGAAGACAAUGGAUGAUGACCACCAAACUACUCUGAGAUGAACUAGUGUUGAGACUGUUAGUGAUGAUCUUAAUAUCCAUAAGGAAAGUGUGUCAUCAGUCUUGUAGGCUGUCGACUGACCUCUGUAGAUGUUCUGUCGUCGUGAUGAAUGCUGUGAUGUUGAAAUAAACUGCAUUCCUGCUAAAAAA